GAUGAACGCUGACAGAAUGCUUAACACAUGCAAGUCUACCUGAACUUCGGUUUGGGUGGCGGACGGUUGAGUAACGAGUAAAGAACUUGCAUCACAGUUAGGGACCUUAUUUGGGAACGAAUGCUAAUACACGAUAUUAUGAUUUUAGGGCAUCCUCCAAUUAUGAGAGGUAUGUGCGCUGUGAGAGAGCUUUGCGUCCCAUUGGCUAGUUGGAGAGGUAACGGCUCACCAAGGCGAUGAGGGGUCGCCGGCCUGGGAGGGGGAACGGCCACAAGGGGACUGAGACACGGCCCGAACUCCUACGGGAGGAAGCGGGGGGGAAUAUUGGACAAGGGACCAAAAGUCUGAUCCAGCAAUUCUGUGUGCACGAUGACGUUUUUCGGAAUGAAAAGUGCUUUCAGUUGGGAAGAAAAAAAUGACGGUACCAACAGAAGAAGUGACGGCUAAAUACGUG
rnacentral:rRNA from 1 species